rnacentral:rRNA from 1 species
GCCAGACUCCUACGGGAGGCAGCAGUGGGGGAUAUUGCACAAUGGGGGGAACCCUGAUGCAGCGACGCCGCGUGGGUGAAGGAGCGUUUCGGCGCGUAAAGCCCUAUCGGCAGGGAAGAAGGAGGACGGUACCUGACUAAGAAGCCCCGGCUAACUACGUGCCAGCAGCCGCGGUAAUACGUAGGGGGCAAGCGUUAUCCGGAUUUACUGGGUGUAAAGGGGGCGCAGACGGCAGCGCAAGCCAGGAGUGAAUGCCCGGGGCCCAACCCCGGGACUGCUCUUGGAACUGCGCGGCUGGAGUGCAGGAGGGGCAGGCGGAAUUCCUGGUGUAGCGGUGAAAUGCGUAGAUAUCAGGAGGAACACCGGUGGCGAAGGCGGCCUGCUGGACUGCGACUGACGUUGAGGCCCGAAAGCGUGGGGAGCAAACAGGAUUAGAUACCCUGGUA